rnacentral:rRNA from 1 species
GCCGGAAUUGCUAGCAAUGGCAGGUCAGCAUACUGCCGUGAAUACGUUCCCGGGCCUUGUACACACCGCCCGUCACACCAUGAGAGUUGGGAAUACCCGAAGCCUGUGAGCUAACUUUUAGAGGCAGCAGUCGAAGGUAGAAUCAAUGAUUGGGGUGAAGUCGUAACAAGGUAAC